AGCAAUGGAGAAGAACCUGGGUGACGGGCACUUACCCUGCCCCCGGGGCACCAUCGGGGGAUGCAGGCAGAGGGCCAGAGAGACGGGCUCGCCUAUCACUGCCACCUUCUCUGGGGAGGAGGAUGGUGGUGGCCACUGGCUGGAGGUGAGGUGGUGCCUGACCCGCCCCCAGAGGCAGUGAGCGGGGCAGCCCUUCACCUCUGUGCAUGUGGCAACCACUAGGCCUGCUUUUAAGACAUGUGGCACCCAGGCUGCACCCCAGGUGCCAUCAGUCACAGUCUCUGGGGCUGGGACACAAUUUGUUCUGAAACCCCAGGCUAUUCCAAACGCAGCAGGUUUGAGAACCAGCAAACCGGCUGUGUGACAAUAGCGUAAAUCUGGACGUAGCUUUAAAACAGUGUUAAGUUUAAAAGAUCAACAAUUAUGAGUAAGAUCAUUGCAAAUAUCAAUUAUGCCACUAAAAUCAGUUCAGGAAGCACCCUGUGUGUUCGCACGGUUCAUACACAAAGAAGGACAUACCCAGUCACAUUGGGGGACUACAUGGAACUCGCUGGAGGAACAGGGCAGGGCAUAAAGCAACGUAGCUGGACCAGAAGUGACCCACUGGAACAGCGCACGUUCCAGAAGUGAGAGGUUUGAUGAACUCUGCACCCAAGCUCCAAAAGUAAGCAAAAGUCAGAAGUGAAACCAUAAAGGAUUAGAAUAAAAUACGGAUGGGUAUUUUUACAUAGUGUAAUCAACAUAUCGGUUUGGGCAUAAGACAUGAAGAAGAGGUCAGUGUUAUUUUCAGUGUUAAAACCAUUUUAAAAAGCUCCGUCUCUUCACACCCGACCUGAAAUGCUGUCUCAGUCAACAGUGACUUCCUGAAAUCCUGGAGUCCACUGCCGGCUUCGCACCCCUGCCACGCAGAGUUUCAUGUAUUUUAACAUCUCUUAGGGAAAGUCACUCCUUCUUACUCUGUCUUUUUAGGACUUCCCUGGCUAUUACUGGAUUCUUUUCUCCAGAUAAACUUAAGAAUUAUAUUGUUACAAGUUUCCAACAACGACCAUUGGGAUUCACUUUACAGGCCAGUUUGAAGGAUGUUCACUGAACACUGCGGACAAGUGUCCCACCUUCUCACGUGGCCUCUGGUGUGUUUGCUUUACCCUUUGUCUUACUGAACAUUUCAUAAAGCUGGUACCACGUGCUGUUGAAGCCCGAAUGAAUGAACUGGAUCCUUCCUGCACAUCACCGCACACAGGUGCGGGGAUGUCACACCACAGCCCCUGGGGCAGUUCCUGUGGCAGCCCCCGUAGCCCGGCCCGCACCUUCAGCAAACAGCCACUCGUCACACUGGGAGGCGGUCAGGGCCACCACGUCUGCUCGAGACCCUGUCUUUGUCCACGAGGCCCCUGUGACGGCAGGAGGGGACACCGUGCUCUCAGGCAGGAUGACGAGAGCAGUUCUCAAGCCGCCGUCCGCUCUCCCCUGAAUGGCCGUCAGCCGGGAAGUCGCGGGCUCUGUGGCCCGCACGGCAAACAUCUGCUUUGUCCUUGUGGGCGCUGCCUUUUGAAACGGGAAUAAGUAAAAGUUGUUCUGGUUCACUUGCUAUACUUUCUUUUCCUCUCGACUUUGGUAGGAAUUGUUUCUUCCUGCUGCCAUCGAGCUCUAAAAGAUGCCGUCAGAGGGAAACGUCAGCCCGCUCCCCGUGAAAGCCACAGCGGCGUGAAGCGGGCAGAGAGGGGGGAUCAGGCCAGAAUGUGUCUGUAAAAACAGCCUAGUCUGAACGUUUUCAAAUAAAGGAUUCAAUUGUG